rnacentral:rRNA from 1 species
CAACGUGAGUAACCUGCCCCCUUCUUCUGGAUAACCGCAUGAAAGUGUGGCUAAUACGGGAUAUUCUGGGUCUGUCGCAUGGUGGGCCUGGGAAAGAUUGCGCCUUUUUGGUGUUUUGGUGGGGGAUGGGCUCGCGGCCUAUCAGCUUGUUGGUGGGGUGAUGGCCUACCAAGGCGGUGACGGGUAGCCGGCCUGAGAGGGUGGACGGUCACACUGGGACUGAGACACGGCCCAG